rnacentral:rRNA from 1 species
UGAAUACGAGAUGCUACGGCGUCGAAGCAGUCUAUGUCAUACUUCCAAGAAAAGCUCGCACUGUCAUAAACAAAUAAUGCCUGUACCAUAACCGACACAGGUGGGUAGGUAGAGUAUACUAAGGGGCGCGAGAUAACUCUCUCUAAGGAACUCGGCAAAAUGACUCCGUAACCUCGGGAGAAGGAGUGCCUUAUUUAUAAGGUUGCAAUAACAAGAUCCAAGCAACUGUUUAUCAAAAACACAGGUCUCCGCUAAGUCGUAAGACGAUGUAUGGGGGCUGACGCCUGCCCAGUGCCAGAAGGUUAAAGAAGUUGGUUAGCAUUCGCGAAGCUGAUAACUGAAGCCCUGGUGAACGGCGGCCGUAACUAUAACGGUCCUAAGGUAGCGAAAUUCCUUGUCGGGUAAGUUCCGACCCGCACGAAAGGCGUAAUGAUUUGGAUACUGUCUCGGAGAGGGGCUCGGUGAAAUAGACUUGUCUGUGAAGAUGCGGACUACCUGCACCAGGACAGAAAGACCCUAUGAAGCUUUACUGUAACUUGAGAUUGAAAUUGGACUUUACUUGCGCAGUAUAGGUGGGAGGCGUUGAUAAUAUUCUUGCGGGAUUAUUUGAGCCAUCAGUGAGAUACCACUCUUGUAAUGUUAGAUUUCUAACUUUGUAUCAUUAUCUGGUCAAAGGACAGUUUCAGGCGGGCAGUUUGACUGGGGCGGUCGCCUCCUAAACGGUAACGGAGGCGCACAAAGGUUUCCUCUGAACGGGUAGAAAUCGUAUCUAGAGUGUAAAGGCAUAAGGAAGCUUGACUGUGAGACCUACAGGUCGAGCAGGGACGAAAGUCGGUCUUAGUGAUCUGACGGUGCUGAGUGGAAAGGCCGUCACUCAACGGAUAAAAGUUACUCUAAGGAUAACAGGCUGAUCUCCCCCAAGAGUUCAUAUCGACGGGGAGGUUUGGCACCUCGAUGUCGGCUCAUCGCAUCCUGGGGCGGUAGUACGUCCCAAGGGUUGGGCUGUUCGCCCAUGAAAGCGGUACGCGAGCUGGGUUCAGAACGUCGUGAGACAGUUCGGUCCAUAUCCGGUGUAGGCGUUAGAAUAUUGAGAGGAGCCUUCUUUAGUACGAGAGGACCGAGAAGGACAUACCUCUGGUGUACCAGUUAUCGUGCCAACGGUAAACGCUGGGUAGCUAUGUAUGGAGUGGAUAACCGCUGAAAGCAUCUAAGUGGGAAGCCCACCUCAAGAUAAGUAUUCUC